CCUGCGGGCCCGUUGGGCUUUUUCUUCUCGGUGUGGCGGCGGCGCCUUCCGACUUCGUCCGUUGAGGCGGACCCCCCCCCUCGGACCCAGAGCAUCCCUGUCACUCCCGGAGGAGGAGGAGGAGGAGGAGGUGACCAUGGAGCGGCUGGGCCUGGACUGGAGGGGGAGAGCUCUGUCUUGUGAAAACGCCGCUGUCCGCCGAGAGAGGAACGUCCAUGAGGGGGAGGGAGCGACGGCGCCCAGGGGCCUAGCAGCCCCCUACCAGGUGAGUGGGGGCUUCCUUCCCACCUCGUUCUCUGGCUGUGGGCUCCUCGUCUUCCCCUUUCUGCC
rnacentral:lncRNA from 1 species